rnacentral:rRNA from 1 species
UACGAAGGGGGCUAGCGUUGCUCGGAAUUACUGGGCGUAAAGGGCGCGUAGGCGGCACUGUUAGUCAGGCGUGAAAGUCCUGGGCUCAACCUGGGAACUGCGCUUGAUACGGCAGAGCUAGAGGAUGGAAGAGGGUCGCGGAAUUCCCGGUGUAGAGGUGAAAUUCGUAGAUAUCGGGAGGAACACCAGUGGCGAAGGCGCUGACCUGGACGAUGAUUGACGCUGAGGCGCGAAAGCGUGGGGAGCGAUCCGG